rnacentral:rRNA from 1 species
AUUGAACGCUGGCGGCAUGCCUUACACAUGCAAGUCGAACGGUAACGCGGGGCAACCUGGCGACGAGUGGCGAACGGGUGAGUAAUACAUCGGAACGUGCCCAGUAGUGGGGGAUAGCCCGGCGAAAGCCGGAUUAAUACCGCAUACGACCUACGGGUGAAAGCGGGGGAUCGCAAGACCUCGCGCUAUUGGAGCGGCCGAUGUCAGAUUAGCUAGUUGGUGGGGUAAAAGCCUACCAAGGCGACGAUCUGUAGCUGGUCUAAGAGGACGACCAGCCGCACUGGGACUGGGACACGGCCCAGACUCCUACGGGAGGCAGCAGUGGGGAAGUUUGGACAAUGGGGGCAACCAUGAUUCAGCCAUGCCGAGUGCGGGAAGAAGGCCUUCGGGUUGUAAACCGCUUUUGUCGGGGAAGAAACGGUCUGCGCUAAUACCGCGGACUAAUGACGGUACCCGAAGAAUAAGCACCGGCUAACUACGUGCCAGCCGCCGCAGUAAAAC